CUGUAUUCAUUGAUGAUAAACCCUAAUACCCCUUUCGAAGCCCAUGAUCUAUCUAAACAAUGAGGCGAAAGACGUCUGGUGCCUCCUUCUACAAGGUAUGCCUUCUCCAAUUUCCCUCUCUUUCUUCGGUGUGCAGUCCGUCUUCGUUCCUUCCCUCUUUUCCUUAUCUGCUUAGUUUUAAGUUCUCUGUUCCGAAAAGCAUCAUCGAUGUUGUUCCUUCAUUCAAUCAUAUCAGCUCUAUGCGGCCCCUACUCUGUUCUUGAAAUUAGAAAGAUUUCGAACUCAAUUGAAGAGAUCAAACGCUAUGGGAUUGGUAUCUUACAUUUUGUGCAAAUAGGAUUCGAAGGUCCUACUGUGUCUUUAGUGACUCUGACCUUCAAGAUCAACUAUUUUUGUUAUGGGGGUCAGAUGUCUUUUGUCUUUCUCUAUUGGAGAAGAUUUACUGGAACGGUGAUUAAAUGGAUAUUAUAUCCGCAGUUACAGUGAUUAAAGGACUCAGUAUCAAUAAUAAGACAACGUUGAGAAGCACUGGGCUUUUAUGACAUUCCAAAGGGAAUAGAUUAUCACAGCAUAAUUAAUGGUUUUUUUCCAGAUAUGUGUUAUGACUUUCUGGAAUUAUAUACGUGGUAAAUCUUCACGGGGUAACAUUUAAUAUGUUUUUCAAAUAGGAAGUGUGGAGGAUUGCCUUUAAUUUAAAAGGAUUACAGUUAAAACUUUCAUGACAACUUGAUUCAAAAGGGUUGCCAUUUGGUUGGAUGAGUUAUGACACCUUAAUCAAUGACUUAUGUAAUACAACAGAAGAGAAACCAUCAUUAAAUUGCCAAUGCAUGGAUCCUUCACGAAGGUGUUACUGCAAUUGUGGUUUUGAGGUUUCUCUAUGUUGCAAUGAAAUGGUAGAUAUGGAUCUAUCAUUUUUUACUUCAACAUCUCAAAUUGAAUAAGCCAUUCACGGUGGAGAGAAUGCUAACUUCCAACUACCAAACGUAAAGCAGCUCUCUUAGUAAUAUGUGGAACGCUUAUUCACGCUAUGAGAAAGUGGAUUACAAGGCAGGAAGCUUCUUCAUGAAAUGAUCACCAGAGGUAAGCAGAGGCAUCCUCCGAUUGGAGGCAAACCUUUUUUUUUUUUUUUUUUAAAUAGAGGUGUUAUGAUCCAAGAUGAGGAAGCCCGUUUGGGGGACAUGGUCCAAAAGAAGAAAUAGUAAUGGUGAUUGGGUGGCUGGGUCUCUAAGUUUCCGGGCGUGUGUUCUCCUAUAGAAGCAGAAAAAUGGAUGCUGUUGAUAGGAAUGCGUACUGUUUGGGACCUUGGAUUUCGCAAAGUCAUUUGAAUCUGAUUCCAAGGAGAUUAUUGAUGGGAUUGACAGGAGUCCAGCUAACUGUCAUGGUUUUUCUUCUGUUUGGCAUCUGAUUAUCAGCAUGAGGCAAAGGAACUGGAUUUUACAGUUUCAAUUGGCCCCUACAGAGGCUAACAAGGUAGCAGACAAACUUGCUAAAGAUGGCCCAAGUAACCUGCAUCGGUUCACUUUUAUUUAUAUGGUUCCAGAGUCACUGAGCACCCUAGUGUAGAAAGAUGUUUUGGGAUCUUUGUCCCCUCGUUUGUGAUUGAUUAGGGCUCUGUCCUCUUUUAUAUCCCAAAAAAAGCACUGAAUGCCCUAUUUAUGAGGUGGGGAGUUGGUUAGAAGAAGGGGACAAAAGAGACGAUGCUGGGAAUCAUGAAGGACUGGUAGCACCUAGGAAAAUUGAUGCAGCGAAAGGGAAUGACUUUAAUGCACCACCACUGAGGUGUAGCACCAGCGCCAGGAAUCCUCCACGCAAAUGUAAAGAGGUCAAGGGUAUUUAAGAGGGGUUUUGGCAGUCGGGAGAGUUAGCUUUUGUCUUGUUGGUUCUCUUCUUUGUGUACGUUUCUUUCCUCUCUGAUAUUUUCCCUUCUUUCUGGUAUUUUCCCGUUUUAUGCUAUGCUAAUAUCAGUAUUCUGCGCCAGUACUUGGCUUUGCUGAUUGUAAUUCUGUAGCCUGUGACAAUGGUGCUUACUGUACUAGUCAGGCGACCCUUUAUGGCUCUAUUGAAUAGAAGCAGAAUUAGAGAUACUUGCACUUAUUUUGUUCUA